AAUGAUCCGAAUGCUUUUCUUGAAUGGGAGUGCAAGAUGAAGUUUAUUUUUGAGUGCCACAAAUAUUCGGAGGAGAAAAAGAUAAAGCUUGCAGCCGUGGAGUUUGGAGAGUAUGCCAUUGUGUGGUGGGAUCAACUCAUCACAAGUAAAAGGAGAAAUGGAGAGAGACCUAUUUCCACUUAGGCCGAAAUGAAGGCUAUCAUGAGAAGGUGCUUUGUUCCUACUCACUACUAUAGGGACUUACAUAAAAAAUU
rnacentral:lncRNA from 1 species